ensembl:lincRNA
CACCUCUAUUUCACCAACAGGUGUGAACCGUGGGGCGGUCCUUGUGGGGAGGAAGUGAAAGUUAAAUUUUACUUCAUGGCAAAGUCCGUCGUGGUGAAGUCACUCGGGUCAAAGUCCCUUCGGUUCGUCUCAUCGAGUCCCUCUAUGGUAUUCCCGAGGAAGGUUUUCUCAACCCCAAAGACCCACAGAGUCCCAGUCCCAGUGAAACCCAUUCAUGUCCAGAAUCCCCGACCCCGAUCGGUGCAGGACCAACAGAAGGAUCAUCAGUGGGUGAUUCUGUUGUCCCCGUCUCGGAGGUAUGAAGAUGGGAGAACCACGCCAUCACUCAGGAGGAGCACGAGGGUUGACCCGUCAUGUUCCGAGCACACGAAGCCAUCAUCUAGGAGGAGCACAAGGGUUGCCCCGUCAUGUUCCGAGCACACAAAGCCAGGACUCCGGAGGAGCACAAGGGUUGCCUCGUCAUGUUCCGAGCACACGAAGCCAGGACUACGGAGGAGCACAAGGAUUGACCCUUCAUGUUCCGAGCACACAAAGCCAGGACUCCGGAGGAGCACAAGGAUUGACCCUUCAUGUUCCGAGCACACGAAGCCAUGACUCCGGAGGAGCACAAGGAUUGACCCUUCAUGUUCCGAGCACACGAAGCCAGGACUCUGGAGGAGCACAAGGAUUGACCCUUCAUGUUCCGAGCACACAAAGCCAGGACUCCGGAGGAGCACAAGGGUUGCCCCGUCAUGUUCCGAGCACACGAAGCCAUCAUCUAGGAGGAGCACAAGGGUUGCCUCAUCAUGUUCCGAGCACACAAAGCCAGGACUCCGGAGGAGCACAAGGGUUGCCCCGUCAUGUUCCGAGCACACGAAGCCAUCAUGGGGGGGGGGGGGGGGGGGGGGGGGGGGGGGGGGGGGGGGGGGGGGGGGUCAUGUUCCGGACACACAAAGCAGGACUCCGGAGGAGCACAAGGAUUGACCCUUCAUGUUCCGAGCACACGAAGCCAUGACUCCGGAGGAGCACAAGGAUUGACCCUUCAUGUUCCGAGCACACGAAGCCAGGACUCUGGAGGAGCACAAGGAUUGACCCUUCAUGUUCCGAGCACACAAAGCCAGGACUCCGGAGGAGCACAAGGGUUGCCCCGUCAUGUUCCGAGCACACGAAGCCAUCAUCUAGGAGGAGCACAAGGGUUGCCUCGUCAUGUUCCGAGCACACGAAGCCAGGACUCCGGAGGAGCACAAGGAUUGACCCUUCAUGUUCCGAGCACACGAAGCCAGGACUCCGGAGGAGCACAAGGAUUGACCCUUCACGUUCUGAGCACACAAAGCCAUAACUCAGGAGCAUCAGAAGGUGAAGAACUGAAGAAGAAGCUGAAGCAGAUUCGUGAUCUCGUUGAAGAUCUUAAGAAGUUGCCUGAGUUGGAUGAUUCGGUUCUUCCCACCUUGUUCCGGUUGCUUGUUCUGCGUAGUCCGUACGAUCCGGAAUCUGAUCAGAUCGCUCGGGGAGACGCGUUCAUGGAGUCGGGCGGGAUCGAUGUUCUGAUGAAACUGGUUCGUUCCGCAUCCCCGGAUGGUUCCCAGGUCCCGGACGAGGCGGUGAGGCGGAUGGAGAUGGCGAUGGGACUGAUAUUGAUUUACUGCAGAUACCGGGAACAAAGUGAGUUUUUGUGCGGUUGAAUUCUCCGGAGUUUUUUUCGGACGAGCUUUACAGUCUGAAUAAAGGGAGCCAAAUCGGGAAAGUGAUCAAUGAUUAUAACAUUCUGUUGUCGAUAAGUUUC